UGCUAUGACUAUCGUCUGAUUUCUUUCUUAAAUGACCUGUCAUUCGGAUUAUUCUGUCGAGUCUUUGUAAAUAUUUUAUGAUGCAUUAGUUUAUCACUACUCCAUUCGUGGAUGCCUCAAUGUUUCCUUCACUGAGCCCGGGCCAGGAUAUGUUAUCACGCGUAUUCCACUGCAUUGUUCGCCGUGCCUCGAUGUGAGGGGGCAGGUAUAUAUGUACAUGGGUUGUGGAGUAUGAUGUGCCAUGUACACACAUUCUGAUAUAUGAUGAUAUGAUAUGAUAUGGCCAUCUGAUAUGUGCACAUUCUGAUAUGAUAUGAUAUGUUACGGAGCUAUUCCCUACUCUGGAGUAUGCUGUGUUGUGGCGCCAGUGACGGGGUGGCGACCACGUUCUGUUCACCGUGUCCCAUAAUGGGCCGGAUAUGGCAUAUGUUCUGACAUGCAUUACCUAUGUUUUAUGAGUAUACCCAGAUGAUGCGAAGUUAUUAUAGAGGGUGUUCCAGCAGAAUUGACAAGCUCCUUUUGCUCCUGGAGUGCUGCCGAGUCAGAGUGUGUAUGCUAUGUUUUCUGAUUAUUUGUUAGAGACUUUGCAGACAGAGUCGUGGGUAUAGAAUGUCAGUUGUGUAAGCGGCUUCAUCAACCGAUAUGUCACUCUGUAUUAUAUGUUAAAUUCUAUAUGAUCACAAAUUCUGUUGAUUUGGAAAGCUUCGAAAAAGAAUAUUUUUGAGAGCA